rnacentral:lncRNA from 1 species
GCCGGGCCGGUUCGGGCAGCGGACUGGGCAUGCUCCGCAGCCCGGGAGGCUCUCGGUGGCAAGUCGGAAGCGUUCGCACCGGGGAGGCAGCUGCCGGGGCAGCGGCGGCGGCGGCGGCGGCGGCGGCGGCGGCGGGCAGGACGGGAGUGGGAAGGGUUGGCCAGGGAAGGCUGCUCUCCGCUGGCGCCCGGCGAGCCGCGCAGAGAGCUCGAUCCGGUUACGAAGCCUUGACGCUGCCCUGCCCCGGAUUUCAUUCCGCGGCGGGGGGCUCGGCGAGCGGAAUUCCGGCGGCUGCCGCGACUCCCGUGCAAGGUGAAGGCAGCAUGAAUGAUCCCUGA